rnacentral:rRNA from 1 species
GACGAACAGUGCGAACGUUGUUCGGAUUCACUGGGCUUAAAGGGCGCGUAGGCGGACUCGCCAGUCUGUGGUGAAAGCCCCCAGCUUAACUGGGGAAGUGCCGUGGAUACUGCGAGUCUGGAGGAGGGUAGGGGCAUCUGGAACGCUGGGUGGAGCGGUGAAAUGCGUUGAUAUCCAGCGGAACUCCGGUGGCGAAGGCGAGGUGCUGGACCAUUUCUGACGCUGAGGCGCGAAAGCCAGGGGAGCAAACGGG